rnacentral:rRNA from 1 species
AGAGUUGAUCAUGGCUCAGGAUGAACGCUAGCUACAGGCUUAACACAUGCAAGUCGAGGGGCAGCAGGACGAUAGCUUGCUAUGUUGCUGGCGACCGGCGCACGGGUGAGUAACGCGUAUCCAACCUUCCCCUUAGUAGGGCAUAGCCCGGUGAAAAUCGGAUUAAUACCCUAUGUUUGUGUCAUGAGGACAUCUGAAUAACACUAAAGAUUUAUCGCUAAGGGAUGGGGAUGCGUCCGAUUAGGUAGUCGGCGGGGUAACGGCCCACCGAGCCCUCGAUCGGUAGGGUUCUGAGAGGAAGGUCCCCCACACUGGUACUGAGACACGGACCAGACUCCUACGGGAGGCAGCAGUGAGGAAUAUUGGUCAAUGGGCGCGAGCCUGAACCAGCCAAGUAAGCGUGCAGGAUGACGGCCCUAUGGGUUGUAAACUGCUUUUAUACGGGGAUAAAGUGAGGGACGUGUCCCUUAUUGUAGGUACCGUAUGAAUAAGGACCGGCUAAUUCCGUGCCAGCCGCCGC